rnacentral:lncRNA from 1 species
UCAAUCGUGUGGGUCGUUUAAUUGGGCUAAAGGUAAAAAGGAAUUAGUUAAGCAUGAGAUUAAUCAUGCUUGUUGGUGUAUGUAAAUGAUUUUAAAUGGAAAUGGUGGAAAGUGAAAAGGGGAAGGGACUUAAAAAGCAAUUUAACCAAAAUAAAGAAAUGGAAAAAGAAUGACAGAAUGCCUGCACUUAGCUCUGUUGUUGAAAGAAAUAAAUUUCAUUCAAUUUCCAAGUGUAUUCCAAUCCGUUUUAAAAGGCCACCAACGUUAAGUAUUUAUACACAUUUGUCAUGCUAAAUUUAGUAAGAUUUUUUCCUAAAAAAUAUCAACUAAAAAUCAGAUUCAUACUAUUCAUAGAAUUUUGACAAUUUCAAAAUAAAAAUAUGAUUUUAACUAGUCAACUACUAAUUCUUCAAUUCUUCGAUGUGGCCCUCCUCUUUUCUUUUUCGUUCUAAUUUAGCCCAUUUUGUUUGAUUUUGAAUUUCGGUAUUCCAAUUUCACCCCUAAUAAGAAAGACAUGAGUUUAGUAGCAUUUUAUUAAAAAAUUAGCUAAAACUAAAUACAUUAAAAGCACAAACUUAACUUGCUAUCAAUGACCAAAACCAAUUUAUUCAAACAAAAUGACCCUUUUGAGUAUCUCUUUAUCUACUAAUUCAAACCAAAUGAUAACAAAUAUUUUACAAUGAGAAUGUACUUAGAACAAGACUAUGAACAUAGGAAGAAAAUGCAACACCCUUAAUCCCUUUCCGUCAUUUGUUUAAGAGGCAUUACUAACAAACCAAAACAAGUAAUCAAUCAUAAUUAAACAUGUAAGCUAGCCAUUAACAUUAUAAUAUACAAGGGCAGGUCAUGUCAAACUAAUACUUUCAUACUAGACUCUUAUAAAAUCAAAUAACACAUCAUGCUAUGCAAUGCUAAACUUGGUCUUCUACUGUCUACACUCUUAUCACUAUUUAUCUCUUCUUGAAUGCUAAAAGUUGGAUACAUAACUAGACUAUUCCAAUUAUUAGCAUCAAAGUAUUGGUCCAUACUCCGACUAUUUAUUUAUUUUUAUCUUCAAUGAUGUUAGUAGAAUGCACUUAAUUUAAGUUUGCUAAUUCAUUCCAAUUCAAAGUAAAAUUUACUCUUACAGCCCCUAAUUCGAGUCUACGAGACCCUAAAAAUAGUUUAAAAAUAGUCAAGGACUAAUUUGAAAAUUUAGGGCCAUUUUUGAAAAUUCCCAGAACAUGGGACACACGGCCGUGUGGCCAGACCGUUUGGAAUGCCCCAGGCCGUGUGACUCUCAAAUUUGAGACACACGGCCGUGUCCCAGCUUGUGUAACUUACUGACUUAAGACACACAGUCGUGUCCCAAACCAUGUUUCAGCCCGUGUAACUCACUGGUCACACGGCUGUGCGUCAGCUCCUAUGAAAACUACACCUAUACUAUUUUUCAACACGCCCGUGUGUGUUGCUUGUGUGUGACAUACGGCGCGUGGCAAACCAUGUGCACCUAAAUGUACCUUAAAACUUGACUUUACCAUUUCCUACUUACUUGGGCACUAAGCAACUCAACUAGCAAUCAUUUAACCUACUUAAAACACGACUAAACAAGCUCAAAAUAUACCAAAUCUAUCACCUAAUAUGCCUAACAAAUGUACCCUUAUUGGUACCACAUUUUAUAUGUUCAAACAUUUCAACAAUACAUCAACCACUCAAAACUUUCAUCCAUACCAAUUUUGCUAAUAUUGAACUAACAUCUAGCUACUUAGGAUAUCAAGCUUUAAAACUAAAAACACAUACCACAACCUAACUUCAACCACAACCAUAUAUACAUAUAAACAUCAAUUCACUUGAAAUCCAAAAUUUCAUCACACUAUCAACCAAAAGACCUCCUAGGUACAUGCCAUUACAAAAUAUAACAUCACCGCACUUGGGCUCGAGAUUCGUUUUUGGAUGCUGAGUCGGUGAUAAGUUGGAAAGUACCUAGCCUGCACACAAAAAAUAAAAUCGCACGCUGAGUAUAACUCAGUGGUAUUUCUAUAAUCUGAACAAUUUAACUUAAUAUGAGUAAUCAAAAUGUGAGAACAUAUCAAUAAAUGUUAUGCACUUAUGUUUCAAAUCAUUAAUACAAAUUUUCUCAUUCUUUAUUACAUACACUAAAUUCCACAUGUUCAAAUAUAUAUAUCAAUGACAUAUCGUAUAACAUUUGAAUACUUCAAACCAUGCAAUGGCAUGAUUCACCUCUUUAGUGAAUACUUGAAUUUAUUUCAUGUUUUACAUCUCAUUUCAUAUUUCAUUUGUCAUCUUUGACACCCAGUGCCUCAUUCAAUAAAUCCAAACUAAUAACUGCGCCCAACGUUAUAUAAAUUGACACCCAGUGCCUCAUUAACUCAAGGUCGAAGAAAUCCCUGAACUCUUCCUAUCCUAUGGCAUGACAUCUAUAUCUAACUUAGCCCGAAAUAUUUAAUAGGGUUCCAUUUCACUUUCAAAUAUAUCCAAGGUCCAAUUCUCAUAUAUGCACAUUAUCACAUAUAAACACAUAUUCAAUUCAAUCUUCAUAUAUUCAAUAAAUUCAUAAUAUACCAAAUCAAUCCAUUUUAAUCGACUAUGAAUUCAAUUUAAUUUCAAAGUACAAAAGUACUCACCUCAAAUGCUUACCAUAUGCAACAAUUCAAAAUGCAACUUAGUUCGGAUUAUAGAAACACAAACCGUGAAUUCCGAGCUAUUCGACGUCGAUUUUAUCCUUCCCCUUUUUACUUGAGGAUUCCGGUACGACAUUAGUUACGGAAUAAAACAAUUAAAAUACAUUAAUAUUACACAAUUCAAUUUCAUAUUAAAUUUCAAUUUUCACACUAUAUUUUACUUAUUCUUCAAUUUAGUCCCUAAACCAAGACUAGUUUUUAACCUUCACAUUUAAUUUUAUAUUUUUAUACUAAUUUUACUCUAAACUAAAUUUAGCUUCUUAUUUUCCAAUUUGACCCCUUAAUUUUGAUUUUUUCUCAAUUUAGUCCCUAUUGCUCAAAAUCAACAAUUAAUUCCACAAUUUAGUUCUUUUCCACUUCUAACUUAAAAAUCUAUCUAUUUAAUCCCUAAUACUUAAACUAUUCAACAAUGACAACAUAAAAAAUCUUAAACAAUACUAAAAAUUACAACAUGAGUUGGGUAGCCCUAAGUGCCGAGAUUCUAAAAAUAUAAAAAUUACAAGAACAGAACUAAAUUAAACUAACCAAUUUUAAGUUUGAACUCCAAAAUUUCCUAGGCCGUUCGUCUCACUUUUUCUUUUCUUUCUUAAUUUUUGCAUGUGAUGGUUUAUUAUUUAUUACUAUUAUAUAAUAUAUAUAGACAUACAUUAAAUUUUUAUCUUAUUAAUUAUUAUAUUAAAGUUAUAUGUCAUAUAUAAUAUACACAUACAAUUUCAAUAAACCAUGACCGGCCACCACUCAACAUUUAAUUAAUGGUAUAUUUGCUAAUUUAGUCCCUUCUAUUUAUUUCAACCUAUAGACUAACUUUUAACUCACACGCGAUUUAGUCUCUAUACCUUAACAACUCCGAAUUUCACGAAAUUUACUAAUCCAAAAAUUAAUUCACUACUAAAAUAGCAUCGUCAAUAUUUAAUAAAAAUAUUUAAUAAAAAUAUUUACGGGCCGAUUUACGAAAAUAGAGUCCCGAAAAUAUACUUUCCAACACCCCUGACUAUCGAGUCGUUACAAAAAAGAAUUCAAUAAACAUCAAUACUAAAAAGUACUCAAUAACCCUUUGUUUUUUUCUUUUGCUUUUGUACUAGCACUACCAAAAAUUUGCUUACACAAGAAUGAAGAAAUGGAGUUGUACAAACAAUUUGCAAGCUUGCAACAUGCCCAAAAUGUCAACAUCAAUGGAUGAAGAAAUAGGUAUUCUAGGCAUGAGUUUUAUUCCAAAGAAUCUGAUCUAUUCUCGAAACGGUAAAGAGUAGAAAUUUCUGAAAUUUUAUUUGUUAAACAUGAGAAUCAAAUUGAGUUGAACAAGUGUAGGGAAAACAAAUUGAAUACUAAAACAGGGUCCCAUGAGAAAACCAAAUGAUUGAUACAUUUACAUUCGACAUGAAAAAUGAAUCUUACCUUGAAAAUACAACACAAUGGAAAAAAAUCAAAUUCUGGAGAGAGUUCAAGUCCCAAACCAAGUGAUCAAAUCUGAUGAAAAAAACAAUAAGAAACUCAUUAAUCAGAUCCAAAAAUAUUUCUAUAAGGUUGAUAAAUGAUCCAAAAAAUAGAAAGAGCAAAUCAAAUAAAGUCAAGAUUUAAGUAUGAGAGUCAACGCACCAUUUUACUUAGCUCCUUAAAUGUCUUGAUUUAUGUUCUGUCUUUGAUCCUACAUAAAAAUUAAAGGUACCUUCUUAAGAGAUGAAGACUUCACUGCAAAGUUGUAAUCCUUUGAAAGCACAUUUUGAUCAAUUUCUGAUCAAAGGUCCAUCAAUUGAGUUGAGUUAUAUAUAUGUUGGACUUGUCAUUGUAGCUAUAAAAGGAUGAAAUUGCAGUAAUGGUUAAAGAAUAGAAAGCAUGAUAUGUAGCAUUGAUUGUGAGUAAGGACUAGGUUUCAUUUCUAUACAUUUUUUUGUUAUUUUACUAAUGAAUUAGAUGGUUCAUAGUUGAACAUUAAUCGAUCAACUUAUAAAUCCUUGAAUUUUAUUCGAAUUCAAUUGAUUAAUUCAUACAUUGAUAUGCAUAAUUGUUUAUCUCAAAAUACACUAUCCUUAUCUUCAAGAAUCUUCAUCACCGUUCUUUGUAGUUCAUUCUUUAACUCUGUUUCUUCCUCUGUUUCAACAAUGACAGGAUCUUUAAUUUGGAACAUAAAGGAACAAUAUUUUGACACCCAAUCAAGAGAAACAAAGAUGAAACCUGUUCUAUUAAAAGAUAAUGGGAAUGGAAUUUUGAAAAUGGAGUUGUAUGCAAUUCUUUAGCCAUUAUCUAAGUUAGAUACAUUGAAAUAAUAAAAAUCCAAAAAAAAACCCACAAGCGCAAUUAUACAAUAAUUGCAUUGAAAUCAAUUUUAAAAGCAACAAAUCCAUAUACACUAUAAAAAAAAAAGUAACAAUGAAUAACAUAAAAUAGCAAUUCAAUAGAAACUACUGAAAAAUAAAAGAUUCAUAUUAGUGCAAAAGGCUCACAAUUUAAUAAAAAAGUAUCGAACAAAUUAAGAAUUAGGAGAUUAGAUCUAUAAACCAAAACCCAUUAUAAGAACCUGUACAGAUCUAGGGGAUUUGAAAUUUGAGUCUCAAUUAAAACUUACCGAAUCUUGGAUCUUGCGAGACAUCCAAAAAAUGCUUCACUUCUUUUUUCAGUGGAUUAAGCUAUCAGGAAUUUCCAAUUUUGAAGAGAAAAAGGUUUUGGGUGUGCGAAGCAGGUUGGGAGGAAAUGUGAUUAAAAGAAAAUUAAAUUAAGUGUAGAAGAGAUAAAGUUGAGGAAAAAAACAUGAAAAAGGGAGAGGCCUAAAUCACCAUUUAGUGCGAAGAGAACUGAAUGGUAUGAUGCAUUUUGAGCUGAAUAAUCCCGUAAUGGAAUAUGACUGUAAU